CGUAGGGUGCGAGCGUUAAUCGGAAUUACUGGGCGUAAAGUGUGCGCAGGUGGCCGCGCAAGUCGAGUGUGAAAUCCCCGAGCUUAACUUGGGAAUUGCGCUCGAAACUACGUGGCUCGAGUGUGGCAGAGGAAGGUGGAAUUCCAGGUGUAGCGGUGAAAUGCGUAGAGAUCUGGAGGAACACCGAUGGCGAAGGCAGCCUUCUGGGCCAACACUGACGCUCAUGCACGAAAGCGUGGGGAGCAAACAGGAUUAGAUACCCUGGUAGUCCACGCCCUAAACGAUGAUGACUAGUUGUUGGGGAGUUAAAUCCCUUAGUAACGCAGCUAACGCGUGAAGUCAUCCGCCUGGGGAGUACGGUCGCAAGAUUA
rnacentral:rRNA from 1 species